rnacentral:rRNA from 1 species
GACGAACGCUGGCGGCGUGCUUAACACAUGCAAGUCGAACGGAAAGGCCCUUCUUUUGUGGGGUGCUCGAGUGGCGAACGGGUGAGUAACACGUGAGUAACCUUCCCUUGACUUUGGGAUAACUUCAGGAAACUGGGGCUAAUACCGGAUAGGAGCUCCUGCUGCAUGGUGGGGGUUGGAAAGUUUCGGCGGUUGGGGAUGGACUCGCGGCUUAUCAGCUUGUUGGUGGGGUAGUGGCUUACCAAGGCUUUGACGGGUAGCCGGCCUGAGAGGGUGACCGGCCACAUUGGGACUGAGAUACGGCCCAGACUCCUACGGGAGGCAGCAGUGGGGAAUAUUGCAAAAUGGGCGGAAGCCUGAUGCAGCAACGCCGCGUGCGGGAUGACGGCCUUCGGGUUGUAAACCGCUUUCGCCUGUGACGAAGCGUGAGUGACGGUAAUGGGUAAAGAAGCACCGGCUAACUACGUG